rnacentral:rRNA from 1 species
GAUGAACGCUAGCUACAGGCUUAACACAUGCAAGUCGAGGGACCGGCGCACGAGUGAGUAACACGUAUCCAACAUGCCAUUUACUCGGGGAUAGCCUUUCGAAAGAAAGAUUAAUACCCGAUGUAAAGGAUGGGGAUGCGUUCCCUUAGGUUGUUUGUGAGGUAACGGCUAACCAAGCCUUCGAUAGAUAGGGGUUCUGAGAGGAAGGUCCCUCACAGUGGAACUGAGACACGGUCCAAACUCCUACGUGAGGCAGCAGUGAGGAAUAUUGGUCAAUGGGCGUUAGCCUGAACCAGCCAAGUAGCGUGAAGGAUGAAGGCUUAUGGGUCGUAAACUUCUUUUAUAUAAGAAUAUGUAUUAUAUGAAUAAGGAUCGGCUAACUCCGUGCCAGCAGCCGCGGUAAUUC